UAUAUCUAUGAUAAAUGUAAAUUUUUAAACAUAUUUUCACAAUGUUUCUCAAUAGUCUUUUUAUAUUAGUAGUCACUGCUUUUUCAAAUAUAUUCAUCUUUUGCACUCGAAUGUACUACGCUAGUCAAAUGAGAGUUUAAUAAAAACACAUAUUUUUUUAUUGUGGCAUUUGUUAAUCAAUUAAUCUAUUGCAUAAAUAAAUACUGAUUUAAUCAUGUCUAAUAAUAUGAAUACAAUCUAAUAGUAUCAAUGUUUUUCGAAAAAGAAUUUUAUAAAUAUUUGCUUAUUUGACUACCGACGCCAUUACCGCCACUUUCCACCGCGUUCUCUUACCCGCUACAGUACGGUUCAUUACUCUCGUAACUUUUUGCUAUUUUUACAUUAAAAACAUGGUGCUUUGUGUCAUUAAAUGUACUGAUUUGAAAGGUUAGUGAUUGAUUUCGAGUAAAGAAGUGAAAGUUUCGUUGUAGAUAGCUUUAUUUCGGUAUUAUAAGUGCGUUUCGAUUGUGCCUCGUGACAGACUCAUGGGUGAAGCGUCACGUCGAAUUCUAUUACACAAAUUAUGUCGAAUAUUUUUUGAACGAAAUGAGUGGGUACGGUCGACCGACGUUUACUUGUGAAUCUUUGCCUCUUCGAGCCAUUUUCAUAUACAAUGACGCAGUAAAUCCACACGAGUUGAUAAGCUUCGAGAUACAAGGCCUGGAACGGUAACAAAAUGGCGGACAAUCAGAGGAGAAGACGUUAUCUGACCAUCAGUAUACUUCACAUCAUCACCAUCAUGUGCCAGGCUCUCUCUGAUCAACCGAUGUUUGCCGAGCCAAUACCGAAUGUCACGGUGCCGUUGGGGAGAGACGUCAGCUUACCCUGCGUCGUCGAGAACCUCGGUAAUUUCAAGGUGGCGUGGAUACACGUGGGCCGUCAGAUGGUACUCACCGUUCACAAACACGUGGUCGUGAAGAUACCAAGGUUUUCGGUGUCCCACGACAAUCAGAAAACGUGGCUUCUUCACAUAACCAGCGUGCAACAAGACGACCGGGGUUACUACAUGUGCCAAGUGAACACGAACCCUAUGAUAAGCCAAGUCGGUUUUCUUCAAGUAGUCGUGCCGCCAAAUAUAUUGGACUCGUUAUCCACGGAGAGUACGGUGGCUGUGCGAGAAAAUCAGAACAUCACGUUGACGUGCAAAGCGGACGGAUAUCCGACGCCGACGAUCAAGUGGAAAAGGGAAGAUGGUCAGAAUAUAAUCGUCAAUCGGCAUCACAAAGUUUCAGUGUCCGCGUACGAUGGCGAGCAAUUAAACUUGACGGGGAUCACGCGCCAUGAAAUGGGCGCGUAUCUGUGCAUCGCGACCAAUGGUGUGCCGCCAACAGUCAGCAAGAGGAUCACUGUAGAAGUUGAAUUUUUACCAACGAUCUUUCUUCCGAAUCAGCUGGUGGGUGCGCCAGCUGGCACCAAUUUAACCAUCGACUGUAACACGGAGGCUCAUCCAAGAGCGAUGAGCUACUGGUUCCUAGGUAAGGUUAUGAUAUUGUCGAACGAGAAGUAUACGACGAACACCAUGGAAAACAGCUAUAGGACCUACAUGACACUCACCAUAAGAAACCUGACGGCCAGCGACUAUGGGACUUACCGUUGUAUCAGCAAGAAUUCCCUGGGCGGCACUGAAAGCUCUGUCAGGAUAUACGAAAUUCCAAAGCCGUCCGCGGCGCCGAAGGCCAUGGAGGACAAGAGCAGCGCCAACAAAGAAGGACAACCGAGUACACCGUCACCAGCAAAAAGGCCGACCACCGUAUGGCCCUCCUCGUACAACCCGUACUAUACGAAAAGGACAGAGAGGCCACCUCCCCCGAGCGAGGAGAGGGUCGAGAGGCCAGAACAGAAGCUACGUGGUGGCCAGAGCACAGGGAGCGCGUACAUCAUUAGAUGGAGUGCACCGCAGCUGAUGGUGGUGGCGGUUCAGUAUAUCCUCACGGGGCCCUAUAUGCCCCCCUACAUGCCCCAAACGGCGAAUUAGGAUAUGGGAAAACAUAGGCCAUGUUCGUCCAGGACGUACUGUCCUCUGGUACCUUUGUACUUCGAUCACUGUGGAGCCGCAUUUGAAAGUUUCAUUUCCAAGUACUUAGUUAAAUCAUUUUACAAUCGUCUGUGAAAUGAAUAAUGAGGAAUGGCAGGUGAGCAGAAGGUUAGUGUUAAUAACAUUAUUAAUUCAAAUAAAUUCAUGAAAGAAAGUGAACGAGCGAUCGUCUGUGAUACACAGAUUUCGGUAGCUCGCUAAUUAGCUGUUGAAGAAUUAAAAUCCGUGUACCUAGGUUCGAUAACCGUGCAAAGCUUACGUCGACGGUUCACGGGACGCAUUAGCGAAAACGGACGAAAUUAUUUGUCAAGCGGACGUGUACCUUUAAUUGGAUUGUUAAUCGUAAUCGAACAUUAAUUAGGGUAAUUGAAUUUACGUAUCGUACGCCGCUGGAUUACGGGCUUAAUUAGCAUCAGAUAUUUAUUCUGAGGCGAAUUAUCUUGCUGAAUUAUUUGUGGCAAGUAAUGAUGUAUGUUCCAAGAGCGAUAUUACUGCUGUGUCGCUUCAUCGCGAUCGCCUGGAUAAUCGACGCGAUUAAUAACAGUCAUUGGAAUCUUCGUUUCAUUUUGAUCCGAAAUAUUGGUAAUCUUAUAUUUGCUGUUUGAAUUUUAAUUGAAACAAAAAAUUAUCAAAACGGGGGGGGAAAAAAUACGUGGUACAAUGGAUCGAGAGUUAGAAUCAAGAUGAAAGAGACAAGUUACAGGGAACCAGUCCUUCCGAAAACAUUUCUCUGUUCUUUCAUGAAAAGACACAUAUCCCGGUCAACACGUAGCGCGAUAAAUUCUAGAAACAAUCAAACUAGCCAGAGAACUCGGCACGUUGCCUUUUCUCUCGAGAGUUGAACAUGAUAAAUCUGCCCUGAGAGAGUGCAUACUCGGGAACAACGAACAAAACACGUUGCGCUCUCGAUUCUUCCCGGCGCGUUAACAUCUUUACCUCGAGGCUCGUAAAUAGAGAAGCACAUAGCGUUGCAUCGAUUACCCUCGGUGUUUCGAGAGAAACGUAAACGUAGCUCGAUAAAUCUCGAGGAUUACACGAUCUGGAAAACGAAACUGUGGGAGCGAGAAAAAAAGGGGGACGAAGAUCGAGAUGAAUAACCGAAACAUAGUCGUCUUGGAGGGAAAUAAAAGCUUCUCGUAACUUGCAUAGAUUCGUUUCGAAUGGAAUCAGGAGGAGGCGACUUUUCAACCCCGGCCAGGAAGUAGCAUUCAAGUAGACAACCCUCCGAGGGGGGUGGGAAGGGAUUUGAUUAAUGCUUCGGCACGUGAAAAAUGGUAGGAGCACGCUCGCGUCCUCGCGAAAUCACCGGAGUAGAGAGAACCUAACGACAUUGCCCUUGUUAUUUUGAAAACGAACGUCAUCAAGAAAUUCAAUUAUCCAAGACGAUUCGUCGUUUCAUAGAUGGUUUCUUGAAAAAUUUUGUUACCACUUUUUUUUUAUCUAUUCUAUCUAGAUUGGUUAUUUCAUUUAAUUUUUUCACCGGUUAUUAAUACGAAACGUCGAGUGGAAUUAAUUUCUUUCGCGUUCGACACGGUGGACAGUGGACAUUAUUCGAUCCCAUUCCUGGAAAAGUCGACCGUUCGAUUCCGUGUCUGCGAUUUAUUAAAAUACGUUGAAAAUUCAUGGCCUGGUUAACGAUACGGGGAAUUGAAACGGAACGGGUCGCUUCUAAUUUGUACGCGAUAAAAGGAGUGAUUGGGUCGGUUUAAACUGAAAAUUCCAUGAAACCGGACAACAGGAGCGUUCAAAAGGCCGAAAUUACUAUGAUUCCCAGCGUGAACGUAUUAAUCAUCAGCCCUCCCUGUAAUUACGAAACUUUCCAUUACCGAUCGUGUAAUCGCCGCGUGACGUGUAACCGUGUUUCACGAGAUAUCGCGUAGGCGAUGAUCCCGCGUGAAACAAAAGAGGCGUGCACCAACGCGACGCCCAUCGACGCCGGCGUCCACCCUAAAUUAAAAUACGCUAUCGUAACCCAUCCCGUCCCUCGAAUUAAUUACCCGGAAAUAAGGCGCACAAAGACAUCAAACGACACGUGGAAUCCAAUUCCCGAAUACGUUUCGAGGACUAUGAGCAAACGGCAUGGGACGUGCUGAUGGUCGACGUUAAUCGAAAAGCAUCGAUUCCGAGGCUGUCGAAGAACGGCGCUAAAUGAAAAUUCGAAUUAACGUUUUCAUAAUCCGACAGAAACGAAACGCAAAUAUUAAUAACCGAACGUGUUUUAACUGUAAUUUAAUUUCAACCGGAUCGAUGAUUGAACGUUACUCGAUAAUUAAAAUUACAACAAUUCUAUCAGGGGAUAGGAGUAAUCUCUCUGCAGUUGAAUCAUCUGAAUUUCAAUGAUUCUGUUUGUUUUGCUCUUCUUUUAUUUUUCAUUCGGGGAAUCAAUGUGAUCCUUUGAAUCAUAUUGAACAGGCAACUCGUUAAUUAACUCGAUUCGUGGAUAAAUUAAACUUUCAUCUCGCAAAAUAUUAUUUUAUGAGGCCCACGUGAGAAUUCUCUCUAAACCAUCGGUGUUGUAACUUUCUCGACAUUCUGUACGGUGCUGUAAAAAGAUUAAAAAUCCGUAACAAAGGUAUUAUUGAUUCGAACGGGGAAUUAGUACGGGACUGGUCGACGCAUAAUUCAGCCGAGGGAGUCGGUAGAAACCAUUUGUGUGUCUGGUCUGGAUAACGUCCGUAGGUUGGUCACGCAAGCGGCUCAGGGAAGCCAGUAUGAAAAGUUUCGAUCGCUCGAAAAGGGCUUCGAUAAAGUAUCAUUCGGUCGGAAAGUCUUGCAGCUGAAAAGUUGCGAGCUCGCUUCGAGAUUGAAAAGUUCCCUUUUUAUCAGCGAAACCGGCUACGGUGCUAUCUUCACGGAAUACCGGAUCCUUGAAUAAAAAUACUUCGAAAAUAUCGAUAUACAAAAAAAAAAGGGAAAGAAAGAAGGAAAAUGGAGAAGAGGAGAUGAACUAUUCUCGGAUCGACGGUAAAUUAAUAAGCUCGUCUGCACUCGAAACUAAAAGGUUCUAAAUUUUAAAUAAUUGCAUUUAUUUAAUUAAUCUCUUCUUUCUCUACGGUUAUUCAGGUAAUUACAAAUAGAACAGGCUAAAAAUGGACAACAUCGGGUUGAAAGUUCAAUGAACCUUCCUCGGAAAAUUUGAUUAACUUUAUAAAAGAACGCAAGAAAUAGUACGCGACGAUUGAGAAAGAUUGCUGAUAAAGUCGCUGCUGUUGAAGCAAUCGGGGGAACAGGACAAUUUCUAUUUCGAAAUUAGCAUUUAAAUUAAGCCACGUAAAAUUAGAGAGUCGGUUUUAGAUUUAUCUUUCUUCGACGAGCGUCGUCUACGAGGCGCCACGCAAAGUUUCCACUUUAACGCAACCGAAUGAUAAACUCAUUCAAAUUCGGGCCACGAAACAGAAGAUACGGCUGCGUUAUAAUUCGUGACGCAAACCGGCCAACGUAAUUGCCUUACUUUCGGCGAUUUAAUUCAGAAACGUUCUCUAUUUGCCUCCUGGAAGGUGACUUGUCUUCAAAAUAUAUUUCACUUUUAUAUUGAAACGAAUUUUUUCACAUUUCUCCGGUCGAAAAUAAAAUAAAGAAAUUAAGUCCAUCGCGGUUUAAAUCGAAACGAUACCGAUUAGAGCGAAGCAGAUGUUCGAUAUUUAUAGCCGGAAGUGGAGGAUAGGCGACGCGCAUGGACCACGAAACAGCGAAAUAUCUCGCGCCAAUAUAAUUGUACGCGUUUCAGAGGUAUCAUUCCGUAAUCUAUGUAGUCCUGCUCGGAUGGGGGAUUAUGUUAAGCGAUGCGUGAGCGGCCACAGUCCACGGCAAGCCAGGCGUAACAGAGAUACUGCUGGGUGACGUCGUUACACGCCGCAGCCGUAUUCCGCGGCCCUACACGAAACCCUCGAUAGAAUACACGCUUCCUAUUUAGAUGAACGCGUCCGCGUAUACACGCAACUCUGUAUCGUCUAACAGCUUAUACGAGCUAUGUGCCAUUUUAUUCCAUUCUGCAUGGUCCGCGUGGAAUUCCUCCGCUUAAAGGUAUUAAUAAUGCACUUAUGGUUGACUUGAACUACUGACAAUUUUCAUUUUUUGGCAUUUGAUCAUUUAGAUCAUAUAUAGUUAAUUAUAUUUUGGAAAUUUAAUUAUUUUGUUAAAGAUAUUAUGUGAUUGAUACGUUAUAAGGGCCGACUUCUGACUUAUGGUUGACUUGAACUACUGACAAUUUUCAUUUUUUGGCAUUUGAUCAUUUAGAUCAUAUAUAGUUAAUUAUAUUUUGGAAAUUUAAUUAUUUUGUUAAAGAUAUUAUGUGAUUGAUACGUUAUAAGGGCCGACUUCUGACUUAUGGUUGACUUGAACUACUGACAAUUUUCAUUUUUGGGCAUUUGAUCAUUUAAAUCAUAUAUAGUUAAUUAUAUUUAGGAAAUUUAAUUAUUUUGUUAAAGAUAUUAUGUGAUUUAUACGUUGAUAAGCUGAGGUCUGACUUAUAGUUGACUUUAACUACUGGCAAUUUUCAUUUUUGUGCAUUUUAAUCAUUUAAAUCAUAUAUACAGGGUGUUAAAAAGUAGCCUGAAGACCUCUACACCGUUGGAUAGAUCACGAAAAGUCGAAACGAAAAGUUCUGUAGUAUUUUUCAUUGGGAUCAGUAGUUUAGCCAAUCAGUGCGCAGCUAAUCCGUCUAACGGUACGAGUCAGGAUAUGUUUACAAAUUCGCGCGCGCGACUCAGAGUCGGAGCUCAGUUCUUUCCAGCUCUUCAAACGUACCGGUCGAGGUUUGUGUACUGUGAACCGAGCCUGAUUCCAGCACGUGAGUUUGUACGUAUUUACUGUUUCAUUUCUUUAAAUGAAGUAUAAUUGAUUAUAUUUAGGAAAUUUAAUUAUUUUAUUAAAGAUAUUAUGUGAUUUAUACAUUGGUAAGGGCUGACUUCUGACUUAUGGUUGACUUUAACUACUGACAAUUUUCAUUUUUUGGCAUUUUAAUCAUUUAAAUCAUAUAUAGUUAAUUAUAUUUAGGAAAUUUAAUUAUUUUGUUAAAGAUAUUAUGUGAUUUAUACGUUGAUAAUGAUUAUGCCUGACCUAUACUACUGAUUUAUUUUUACUGUAACCUAUUGUUGCAUUAUUUUUUAUUUUUGCUUUUCUCUCGUUAAUUAGAAUUAAAAGGGAAUAGUGACAGUCUAGAAGAACCUGUUUACAAGACUCUAUGUUCAGUAGAUGUUUGAAUUUGCUCGAGGCUAAAGAUUCUUCAGAGUUACCCAGCUGUAAAUUAUAUAGACCGAGCUUCUCGACACGCCAAAGAAUCGGGGUUAUGUAAAUUGCCCCUUAAGUAGAUAAUAUUGAGUCCCUGUGGCUGUUAUAGAUAACCCAAACUUAACCCAGAUCUAACGUAGACCUAGCCCAGCCUGUCCUCGCGUCAUAUCUUAUCCCUCUCAACCCUAUAGUAAGCUAUCAAUUUCCAAGACCUGUUAUUAAUUUCCAAUUACCCAGGCCUCCAUUCAAUUUCCUAUUAUUUAUCCGCGACACGGAAAGACGUUCGCGAAAUGAACCCUCGCGUUUCCCUGUUGAUUUAAUGGUGUAACGAUCGCGUGAAAUCAUUCGGGCACGCGCAUCCACGACGAUAAUCAUUUGCACGCGAUCGUAGACAAUGUGUAUCCCUUGACAUCCGCGCGUCCGAAAGCAGACGUCACCGUGACACGCGUUGCGAUUAAUAAGCAGAAAAUUACACGCUGGAAACAACGAGUCCGAGAGUAAUGGGGGUCGCUCGCGAAUUCCGUUUCGUACUAUUGUUACACCGCAGAAAAAAUUUUGAAAUUAAAAAAUUUCCAGGGCUUGCAUUAUUGUUAAGGGUAGGAAAAUUUCUAUUACCACUAUGGUAAAUUUUAUUAAAAAUUGUUAACGUUUAAUGAUUAUUCUUCUCGUAGACGUCGUGGUUGACUGAUUAAUUUAUUCACGAAUACAGUUGCUUGUAUUUGAACAUGUCGAGUAGUUCAGGUCGGUGCAUGGUCAGGCAUAAAUCAGGAAUACACGGUAGCCGAAAUUUAUCAGGCCGGCUUCAGCUCGCAAUUAUAUUUCAUUUUAUAGAUUUGCACAGAUGCGUUAUGGCGUACGUAUUUUAUUGGAUAAAUAUCGAGACAAAUAUUGAUCACGAUCUUUUUAUCUCUACAUUUCCAUCAAAUACAAGGGUCAUUGACACUGCAACAUGUCCAGUUCGCUAUAAAUUUUUCUCUGAAUUUAUACAUACGUUGCAUUCUUUUUGGAGUAAAUAAAAUUCGAAUAAUCAUCGUUGCAUAGAAUUGUUUUCGAGUAGCUCUCGAGGGAAGCAGCAUAAAAUUUCUGUCGUAAAAGGGAGAAACGGUAAAAAGGUACUCAAAGGAGACAAAAAUGAAGAUUCUGAAGUUUAGAGAAAACAAGAAACCAUCUAAAUGGACAAUCAUUUAAAGUUUUCGUUCAGUCGAAAUUUGUUUCUUCUUCUGGCAUCGAAAAGGCAGAAGUUUGAAACUUUCGAGUAUUUACUAUUACCGUCGAGAUUUUGCGAAGGUAUUUCAAAAGACCGAAGAAAGUUUUACAGAGACAGUAAAGUCCCCUGCUACCUGACAAAAAUAACCAACCAUCUGUCUAUCUUUCCCUAAAACUACCGAAUAAAGAUAACGUUCGCAAAAUAAAAAUGAAAUCGAUACGCGUUUUAUUAACAUCAAAAAUUUGAUAUUUUAAAAUUUUCUUCUGAUAUUACAAGCUGGCCAAAAUACGCCAGAACAAAGGGAUCAAUUUAAAUCACCUGACCACCGUAAAUGUAUUCGCAUGAUAGCGAUUUUCGCGUUGUACACGAAUCAGCAUAACAAUGCUUCUGAGAAGUGUAACAGACCAGAACCGGACAAGGGAUAUACAAAGGGUGGGAUCAAAAUAGGGGUGCAUCUAGAGACAGAAUAAUUCCUGUUGAUAUUUCAAAAUUUCAAACGCCACCAAGGUAUAAUAAUUAUAAAUUAAAAAUAAAAAGAUUGUACAAACUGUAGAUUCCUCUAUGUAAUAUUACGUCAGACUGCAAGUGCGUUAAUUAGCGAAAUGAAAAAAUUUAAUUACUCUAGCUUUCUAAAAGUAAACAUACAUAAAUAUUUAUUUGCUGGUAGUGGAGAAACUAGAGUAUGCACUCGAUGAAAUUUCAAAGCCUUUUCCCUUUAUGAACAUAAAUUCCCUUCAUAAUUUCAAUUUAUUUUCAUUCGAGAUAAAAUAAUGCAUAACUAUCCGACAUUCCAAAUACUCGAAGUGUGUGCACGUUUUAUAAGGACACCCUGUAUAUAUGAAAUCGGAGAUUAGAGAGGGUAGGAUGAGACGAGGGUUGGAAUCAGAUCCUGUUAUACAUAAUCUGUGUUACGGUCCGCGAGCUUUUCUCGUCCGGUUUAACACGCCCCGUUCGCGGCUGAAUUCAUCGCGGUGAAAGUAUUGUCUGCGAAACGCGUCCAAUCUGUUGCUUCUUCCUUUGAUUUCUUCCACGGUGCUACCUAAAAUCGAGUUUUCACGAUUCUCUCUUUUUUUUUCGCCCUCCGAGCAUCGCUUCCGGUUUCGCGGGAAACUCCGUCGCAAUUUACACGCUGUUAUAAAUCAAUUUGCUCGCAGGAUGAGGAACGCGUUGCUCUACAUUGUUCGACGUAAAAGGAAUAAAUUAAACAGAAGGUUUGAAAUUCAACAUGAGGCUAGAUAGAAUUCGCUGUUUACAUUGCUGGAUGUUGAUUUUUUAAUGAAAGCGAUAAAGGCAAUGGGAAAUGAAAAAGAAUUUCAUCGAAAUAUAAUAUCUCUCAAAUCAAUCCGGAGUUUUAAUCAUCGGCUACCAAGCGGAACCAAUAAAACUAACUUCAUACAUGUGUAUUAAAAUAAAACUGGUCUACCAAUUCAUAUUUCGUUAUUUCAUAUUUGCCAGAGGAACAGAGUAUCGAGAAUUAUAGAGGGAUUGGGGAUUGGAAUACCUAUCGUUACAGUUGUUCGCUUAAUUAAACGCGGAUUCGACAACCGUUUGCGAUAUUCAUUUCUUGCUAAUGUCCUGCUCUAUUAACGAUGAAAAGUCAUUAAAAGAUGAAGGAUUAAGAAAAACGGAAAGGGGAGAAAUAUCCGCAAGAAUAUUCUCUUUUAACGGAUAUUUAAAUCAGAAUCACGCCUGGAAAGUCAUGCCAACCGAUUCUUAUCAGAUCUCUGCUAGCAGGGUGCAACUGUAUCGGGCGUCAUAAAAGUGUGCUCGUUGGCCCGUCAGAACGUGAGCAUAGAGAAAGAUAAUACCAUGUAGGAGUGCGAGAGAAAUGGUGAGAGUAAAAGGAAGAGGGACAGUGGGGUGGUGGUAGCCUGUUAUACACAGUCUGUAUCAUCACUUUGCGAUGUACUUGCGAGCUUUUCCCGCCUCGUUUAACACGGCCCAUUCAUAAUAGGAUGACGGCCGUAAAAGUAUUGCCGGUUAUCGCUGCUACCGCACCGCAUAGCUGGCCAAACAUUGUCCAACCUCCGAUUUACCACCUACGCCCCCGCGCUAGGGUAUCUAUUGUCCUGAGUUACGAUGCACCGGCCUCGGAUGGCCCAUGGGCUCAGACUUUUACCACGGACCCACCUCAUAAUUGCCAGAUUGCCGCGACAGUACUAUACCAACCCUCUACAACUAUCGGGGAGAAUAACGCGAUAAAUCUUGAUGCCCGACCACUGGCACAAAGCAGUCUCUCUCGGUUGAUAUUAAAUAUCGAACGGCUAAGAAUUACGCCUGUCUUCGUCACGGAUAACCAUCGAUAAUCCCUCCUCGAUAAUGAUUUUUAUGAAAUUUUCAAACUAGGUGAUCCUCUAUUGGCUUAAGUUCUCAACCCUUUUAUGAAAUCUUCAAGAAAUCUAAAUUAAUUAUCCGCCGAUGCAUAAUUACCGGGUUAAAGGGGUUGAUUUUCAUUCGGAAUUGGAAAUUAUGAAAUUAUGAAAAUAUUCCGUAGUUCUCUAAGGAUUGAAAUUCCUUUUGGAACAAUCCUUUGUUUACCGGGCAGGAAUUCAACGAAUAAAUCGAACGUUUGUCAAACCGUUCGUGUAUCGCGAAAUAGAAAUUCCCGUGGAUGUACAUCGACGUUGAAGUUGUCCGACACGUAAUCGGAAAGUUUGAUUUAAACGCGGAAAGAUCGCCGCUGUUCAUCUUCCUGUCGAUUUAAAGGUAGACUCGCGGAAGAUGGGAACUUACGAGCGGGGCAACUUCAUCGACACCGGGCCAAGUUUUCCGCGAACUUGGCGAAUUUAUUUCACGGCCGUAUCAGCCAAGCUGAUCCCGUCGAGCUUUCGAGCUUUUGCAGAUUCCCAUCGACCGAGUUCGCCGGAAUGUUUCGAGUUUCACGUUGCUCCACUAGGCGAAACUUGCCUCCCCCGUUCGACGAAUGAAGUGAAACGCGGAACAGAGAAGAAAUCUUUCGGGUCGUUAAGGCGUCGAAAUCCCUUAACGUCGUUCGUCUCUCGCAGUAAAGUUAAGAGAAUUCCGAGGAUACGCGGUCUAAAUCGAUUCUUUCCAAAGAGACAUCCAUUCUCUUGCCACUUGAAAUCGCGUGAAAAUUCCUGGCUGUCUUUGUUGAUUUCUCUAGAAUUUCUUUUUCUUUAUCGGUAAAGUUGUUUCGAAUGAACAAAAUAAUUUCCAAGAUGCGGCUCCUAUAGCAUAGGUACCAAAUGCGAACCAAUUGCGUUGGCAAUUGUACCGAUCCACCGACAAGAAAAUCGUGAGAACAAGUUGAAAGUAUUAUUGCUUAUACUUUAAUGUAUCAUUAUAUUAUAUCGAAUGUUUUGCGUUAGGUUUACGUGACUCGGGGUAUGCAAUUAAUUUCGGUGCUCAAACGGUAUGCUUACGAAUGAUCGAUAGAAAUGAUAGCGUUAAUUAAUCGGGAGUUUGUUGAUGAUCGAUCGUCUUACGACUUCGUGGCUGCCCUAGAUAAUUGCACCUCGAGGGAACGAAACGAAACGAAACGAAGCAUGGAAAUCGAUCGUAGCCGAGAAUUAUUCUGCCACGAAUGGUUCCUCGUUUUCUUCGACAGGGAAACGAGAAACAAACUACGAGGGAAUUGUAAAUAGCUCAGUGUAUAAACUUCAGUUCCAGGUUCAUUGUAUAAACAUUAUAAAUACACGAGAGAGAAGCGUGAAUCCGCGUGGAUUCGUUCGUAUCGUAACGUCAUCGAAGACCAAUACUGAAACGUCGUCGUUCUCUUUGGUUUAUUCGACACCGUUUCGAUACGAGAUCGACGCGAAUCUCUGUAAAUAAUCGAUCGCAUAAGAAGUGCCAAAAUACGUGACUCAUACAGACAAAAGUAAAAAUGAAAGGAAACAUACACACCCACAUAUACGUACGUACAUUAUUAUACAUACUCGUACAGGUAAAUACGUGCAAUCGAGCUCGUUCUCUGCGAUAACAAGUAAAGCGAAGAGAAUCCCUCGUUCCAGGGAUGAAAACUCUGGAUCAGAGGGAUGAACGUGAUAAAAUAGUGAAUUAUCUCGGUGUUAAACGAGUGUUUGAAUAAUAAAUGAAGUGGUAGUGGUUGCCACGAGACCGUAGUCAAACAUAGAAAACUUUAAGAAACUCGUUACGUCUUUUCAGAAAGACCUUUGUUUUAUCGUGAAAUUUUAUUAUACGUUAACUCUUCUUCGGAUUUCGAAAUUUCAUUUCAUAGGUGAUCUCCUACAGUCGUUAUCUAAGUACAACUUCACCUAAUUUUAGAAUUUUAUGAGGCACUAGACGGUGUGUUGAUUUUGGGAAUUAGAGGGUUCGUACGAAGAAGGGUUAAAUUAAUUGGUAUAUCUCGCGACAUCCGUGAUGAAUUAUUGUUUUUAUCGUGCUUGGAUAAUUUUAUUUGUCAAGUGAACUCGUGCACCGUUUUCUUGCCUCUAGUCAAAGAGAAACGACAAGAAACAGAAAGCAUCGUACAAGAAGGAAAGACACGAAAACUCUAGUCUUAAGGAGGAUUAACAAUAAUUAAUUAUGUCAUCGUAAGUCUCGUAUCUCAUAGACAGUCCCAUCGGUUGUUUACCACAAACUCGAUCAUCUCGCAAGAAUACAAUUAUUGUUAUUGUUACUUAAUGUUGAAGAAUGAUAAUGAAAGAAAUGAGAGGAAAGAAUAGAAGGAAAUGUGAAGAUCGAUUUUGUGGCCAACACUGUUCACUGUGUUCCUGUAAAUAAAUAUACAUAAACGAAGGUGUAACCUGCUUAGAUUAACAAACGGCGUACGUAAUUAAUUUUAAAAAGCGAUCGUCGAACGGAGAAACGAAACGAAAGAUCGACAAGCAGCUUCUUCCCUUUUCUUCUCCGCUUCCUUCAUCUUUCAAUCUUCCUUCUCCUCGUGUGAAAACAUGGUAAUUCAGGUGAUUGUUUUCCGAAAUAUUUUCCGUACUAGUAUUCUUCUGUACGGUACACACUCGAGUGUCCAAGCGAGAAAGUAUUUUAUUAACGUCGAUUUAUCGGUACGAUGCUGGAAAAUAUUUAACACUUUCGUUCGAAACGAUAGGACUCAUUAACGAAAUUAACAAUUAAUUAUUUAAUAGUUUAUGAUUCAGGAAUUUCAACGAAAGUGUUAAAGGUGUUCUUUUUUUACACUUUACACAAGAAUUUCAACGAGUUGAAUGAUUCUAUACCAGAUGAUCGUUGUGCAAUUAGGAAAGCAAUUAACACGUUGAUUGCCCACAUUUAUUACAGCAUAGCAGUCACUAAUUAUCCAUUAACAAAUUUUCUUCUUUCCUCAUUUUUUAAUUAUUCGACCAAAUUAUAUCCCAAGUACCAAUUAAUAAUGGUUCGACGAUAAUUAACGUAUUCCAGGGAUAUUAUUAUUAAUUAUUUAAUUAGACUCGAUUAUCGGCAAUCAACAAGUUAAGGAGAAAUACCAGAAAAAGAGAUCCACCUACCAUAGACCUAUCGAUGGAAAAAGAAUUCCCAAACAUACUGCUAAAUACUGCCAAAAGGUACAUUCUAUUACAACACAGAGAGAAUGUGAGAGAGAGAGAGAGAAAGAAAAGAAACCGAAAAUCGCUUUUAAUGUGCAUCAUUAACUCGCUGCGUAGUGUUACUCUAAAUGUUGCUAACAUUUAAUAUGUAAGUAUAGAUUGUGUUUUAACGUGUAAAGAAAAGGAAAUCGGCGAUUUGUUUAUUUCGUCACAUCAGGGGUUAAGGGUUGGGGGUGGACAAUUGUGUCAAUUAAAAAAAAAAAUAAAAAAAGAGUAAAGUCCUUUCCUUUGGUUUCCAUGGGAAUGUGUUUUUUGUCCGCGUUAUUGUACAUUUUUCAUAAUUCCCUUAUUGUG